rnacentral:snRNA from 1 species
AUACUUACCUAGCAGGGAAGAUGCCAUGAUCAUGAAAGUGGUUCUCCCAGGGUGAGGCUCAUCCAUUGCACUUCAGGUGUGCUGAUCCCUCUGAUUUCCCCAAAUGUGGGAAACUCAACUGCAUCACUUGGGGUAGUGGGAACUGUGUUUGUGCUUUCCCCU